UACGUAGGGGGCAAGCGUUGUCCGGAUUUAUUGGGCGUAAAGAGCGUGUAGGCGGCCUUACAGGUCAGCUGUGAAAACUCGAGGCUCAACCUCGAGACGUCGGUUGAAACCGUAAGGCUAGAGUCCGGAAGAGGAGAGUGGAAUUCCCGGUGUAGCGGUGAAAUGCGUAGAUAUCUGGAGGAACACCGGUGGCGAAGGCGACAUCCUGGACCGGUAUUGACGCUGAGUGAGCGAAAGCCAGGGGAGCAAACGGG
rnacentral:rRNA from 1 species